GUUCAUCCCCUGCGCCUGCGGGCUGCGGCUCUCUCCCCCUUCUCCUUCCUCCCUCCAUCCGCGCGUCGCUAGUUCAAUGCUGAAGAUCUUCCUCCCCAAGCUGACACUGCUGCCUCGUCUUCCCCUAGCACUGAAAGAGGUUCAGUUGAAGGUUCUUGCCUUCUGUUAGCUAUUGCAGCAGAUUUGUGAGUUGUAGAGUAAUUGAUGCACCCGUCAUUUACCAUAGGUUUUGAACAUGUAAAUUCAUAUCCCCCCUGCAGAGUGUUGAAAAAAACAUGUAAAUUUAAAUACUAGUUUUGAAUCCAGUUUGUUCAGUGAAAGAUCAAUGUAUUUCGUGUGCAUUGGCCCUCGUGCAAUGCUGGCAUUUUGCU